ensembl:snRNA U6 U6 spliceosomal RNA
UUGCUUUAGCAGCACAUGUACUAAAAUUGGAACCGUGCAGAGAGAAGAGCAGCAUGGCACCCCGCACAAGGAUGACACGCAAAUUCAUGAAGCAUUCCAUCUUGAA